rnacentral:rRNA from 1 species
CACGUAGGGUGCGAGCGUUGUCCGGAAUUAUUGGGCGUAAAGAGCUCGUAGGCGGUGUGUCGCGUCGGCCGUGAAAACUUGCAGCUUAACUGUGGGCGUGCGGUCGAUACGGGCAUCACUGGAGUUCGGCAGGGGAGACUGGAAUUCCUGGUGUAGCGGUGAAAUGCGCAGAUAUCAGGAGGAACACCGGUGGCGAAGGCGGGUCUCUGGGCCGGUACUGACGCUGAGGAGCGAAAGCGUGGGGAGCAAACAGG